rnacentral:rRNA from 1 species
GACGAACGCUGGCGGCGUGCUUAACACAUGCAAGUCGAACGGAAAGGCCCUGCUUUUGUGGGGUGCUCGAGUGGCGAACGGGUGAGUAACACGUGAGUAACCUGCCCUUGACUUUGGGAUAACUUCAGGAAACUGGGGCUAAUACCGGAUAGGAGCUCCUGCUGCAUGGUGGGGGUUGGAAAUUUUCGGCGGUUGGGGAUGGACUCGCGGCUUAUCAGCUUGUUGGUGGGGGAGUGGCUUACCAAGGCUGUGACGGGUAGCCCGCCGGAGAGGGUGAACGGCCACCUUGGGACUGAGAUACGCACCAGAGUCGUACGGGAGGCAGUAGUGGCGAAUCUUACACAAUGGGACGGAGUCUGAUGCAGCAACGCCGCGUUUGGGAUGACGGCCUUCGGGUUGUAAACCGCUUUAGCCUGUGACGAAGCGUGAGUGACGGUAAUGGGUAAAGAAGCACCGGCUAACUACGUG